AACUUUUACGAGGGAUCAGCACUUUUCUUUCGCUGGUGGGGAAGGCAGGAUGAGAAAUACAAAGCAGGAGUAGACUUUUAAAGUUUAAAUAGACAGGUCCGAGCGCCUGAGCGUGCUCCUCCGUUUUAACCCUCCAGAGAAGUACCCCGAGCCAGUCGCACUGCUCAUCAGCAGCGGUAAGUUGGAAGU
rfam:Colinus virginianus strain Texas jcf7180006227077, whole genome shotgun sequence.